rnacentral:tRNA from 1 species
AAAUAAGAAGUAAUUAAAUACAUUUAGUUUCGACCUAAAAGCUUGGCCCGCCCGCCCUUAUUUA